CUGCGCGCCAUGUGGGACCCUCCUCCGGUGGCCGGGGAGCAGCCGGGGAUCGAACCGGUGCUACAGAGGCUGCGGGCAGCUUCGCAACCCAGCGCUCAACCGCUACGCCACCGGGGAGGCCCCAGAAUACUUUGUUUUUUAGGUUGCUUUUAACACUUUAGCCAAAAUAAAGUGAUUUAAUAGUGAUAAAUAUCAGGAAGUAUAAGUAUCAUUGUUUUAAUUCUAUAUAUAUUGCAUAUAUCAAUAUGUGCACUUACAAAUGUAUUAAUAUCUGAGGAAGGAGAUUUAGAGAGGUUAAUUAUUUUUUCCAAGGUUACCUAUAUAUGAUAUUCACUCAAAAUUAAAAAUGACUAAUUAUUGAGAAACUACACUGUACUUUUGUAGAAUUGAUAGUGUUCUAGUGAUCAAGAUAUAGAGAGAAUGUUGUGAUAAAACUGACUUUUCAGUGGCAGGGGAAAAAAAGCAAUAUAAAUAAGUUUUAAAAUAAUCCAACAGAGAAAUAACAAAUGAUGAUAGGAUCUGUACAAAGGAUCAAAAGAAACCAACUGAAUUUUCAAUACCAUUUAGGAUAACAUCAAAAUAUGAAACCCUUAAGGAUAUUUUUAAUAAAAUGUAUGUAUCUGUAAAGCUAUGAAAACAUUAUUCUUUAAUGGAAAUUGUAAUACUUCAAUAAAUGACAAUAUGAACUCUAUUUACAGACCAGGAUGCAUACAGCAAAGUUUGGGAGAAAGCACAAUUGCAGAGGGGAGCACAGAGAGGCAGAAAUGACUGAAUCACCCUUCAGUAAGAAAAAGGAGGCCUGUUUGAGAGACUUGAGCAGAGAAGGACAUCAAUAAGGCUGCCAUGGGAACUGGGCCACUAGACUGACCACCACGGCAGAUAAACCAGCCCAGCUCCAGGAAUGCAGAGGCAGGGACUGCACAUGUGUCUGUGUCAAAGGUCUGCACCAAAGAGCAGACAUCCCGGCAGAUAACCCAUGCAAACUGGCUCCCCAAGAGUGAAAUUGUAACAGGGUGGUCCCCAGGAAAGGGGGAGGUUCCAGGUUCCCACCCCACCCAAGGGAGGGUGGAGCUGAGCAGGGAGAGAAGAAGCUGCAGGGGAGACUGAGGAAGGAAGGAAGCAGGAUGGAGCCAGGAGGAGACCGGUAGGAGGCACGUGGAGCUGAGAGACGUGUGAAAAAACUGCUCUUGCCUUUUGGUCGUGGACUGGGUGACACAGAUGUGGGCGAGAGACCUGUGGGGAGGUGACAAUGGCAGUUUUUGUCUUGCUUUUGAUUUUGCUCUUUUCCUUCUAGGCUUUCCUGGUGGUUUCUGAUCCUUUUCUGUGGGUCCCCACUGGAAGAUGCCUUAGACCUGUGGCAGGCUUUGGGGCCUUAUUCCGGACCAAUCCCUUUUGGAUGGACUUUUACCCAUGAGGCGACGGGUUACUUUGGGUACUUUAUUUAGAAACUAUAGAGACACAGUGGGUGGGGGGAGGGCAAGGAGAGGAAGGACUAGAGUCAAAAUAAGGUGGGGGUGCAGUUGUAUUGGGAAUAUAACCAAAAUGAAAAUGCAUACAUUGUGCAAAGAUGAAAAAUGAUG